rnacentral:sRNA from 1 species
AUUAAUUAUGGUCUAACAAUUAGUAUGAAAAACAUCAGUCAGCAUGCGACACAGUGGAAGAUUGUAUUUGCUGACAAAGUCGUUGUAUCGACCAUAGAACUUACCAAAAGAUGACUUCAAACGAGACUGUUGAUAGUCCUGUUUUAUUAACUUGUUUGUCAGUAGCUUGCCUCGCCUUAGAAACUGUUCAUAUGAAGAACAUGCCCUUGCGUAUCGAAUAAAUUGAGAGACAAAAACACCAUACGCAGGUGAUGUAGGUGUAUUGCUACAUAAGUAAGGAAAGUUGACUAUAGAAAAUUGAAAUCAUCACGUUUAUCAUUAAGUUUUGUUGUUACCAUCAAUGUCCAUUUCCAGUAAAAUAUCCAAAUAUAAAACAGAUGACGCAGACUUUGUGGUAUCGUUUAUUUCAAGUUCACUGGGGUAUAUAUCGAGUCAACGUAGGUAUGAAAGUAAAAUAUGUUAAUCAAUAAUAUGUCGUCGAUAUUCCUGAAUGUUGAGUUGAAGCAUGUAAAUGUUUAAUGAUUUUUAAAAAUGUUUUGUUAAAUUGUUUGUUUCAAGAGAUUUGGUUGAAUAUCAUCAUAGCUCAGUGGUGAAAGUAUCCAGGGCUUCACGGUGAACCGCAAAUCAAGAGUUCGUAUCUGCCUCGGGCUUUUGUUCCUAUUUAUUAAAAUGAAUUUUUGAAAUUAUAUAUAUUUUUUUUUAUCCAAAACUGCUCUUUUUCGCCCAUAUGACUAUUUUACUUCUGAAACAUCAUGUCAUCUAUCAUAAUCAAGUAAUUUUCUGCUGAUUUGAGACACCUUAAUUAAAAAUAAAAUAUUCUUGCUUGGUGUGCAUACUGCAAAAUCUUGUGUUUAGAGACAAAUAUUUACCUUUUCCAGUGUCUUUGCCUGUGAUAACACUACGUAUCGAUUUUGUACUAUAAAACCCAUAACUUCAAAUGACGUAUAAUUGGGGCGCCAGCGGGUGGACCGAAAACCCUUGGCUAGCGAAGAUGGCUUUGCUUAUUUAUAUUUCAAUAUUUAAUCGUACGAUGGCUUAAUAUUGUAUAAAUAUAAGUAAUAAGGAAUCAUUCUAAUUUGAAUAUUAUGAGAUGAUAUAUCAUAAAGCCCUUCAGGCUUUUUUAAGAUUUGAUUACGCCCUACCAAAAUUAUCACCUCAUAAUACUCAAAGAAUGAUUCCUUAUAUAGUUAUAGCCUUAGUUAUAGUUCUAAAAAAAUUGAAAUUUUUUUUACCUUUAAUUUUUUAAAUUGCGACAUUAUUUUUAUUAACAUACCGGAUGUAUCAUUUGUAAAAUCUUGUACUUAUGCAUAAAACAAUGUAUGUUUUUUCCUAAGAAUAGAAUUUUUGUUCUCUGUAAUUGUGUUUUUUAAUAAAUCAUCUAACAAAGUGAUUGAUCAACCAU